rnacentral:rRNA from 1 species
GACGAACGCUGGCGGCGUGCUUAACACAUGCAAGUCGAACGGAAAGGCCCUGCUUUUGUGGGGUGCUCGAGUGGCGAACGGGUGAGUAACACGUGAGUAACCUGCCCUUGACUUUGGGAUAACUUCAGGAAACUGGGGCUAAUACCGGAUAGGAGCUCCUGCUGCAUGGUGGGGGUUGGAAAGUUUCGGCGGUUGGGGAUGGACUCGCGGCUUAUCAGCUUGUUGGUGGGGUAGUGGCUUACCAAGGCUUUGACGGGUAGCCGGCCUGAGAGGGUGACCGGGCAGAGUGGGGCAGAGAUACGGCGCGGACGGAUACGGGAGGAAGCAGUGCGGAGUAUGGCACAAGGGGCGGAAGGCUGAAGCAGCAACGACGCGGGAGGGAUGAAGGCCGUCGGGUUGUAAAACGCGUACGCCUGGGACGCAGCGUGAGAGACGGGAAUGGGUAAAGAAGAACCGGAAAACUACGUG